rnacentral:rRNA from 1 species
UUGUUCCUACGGGGGGCAGCAGUAGGGAAUCUUCCACAAUGGGCGCAAGCCUGACCCAGCAACGCCGCGUGAAGGAAGAAGGCUUUCGGGUUGUAAACUUCUUUUCUCAGGGACGAAGAAAGUGACGGUACCUGAGGAAUAAGCCACGGCUAACUACGUGCCAGCAGCCGCGGUAAUACGUAGGUGGCAAGCGUUAUCCGGAUUUACUGGGUGUAAAGGGCGUGUAGGCGGGACUGCAAGUCAGAUGUGAAAACCACGGGCUCAACCUGUGGCCUGCAUUUGAAACUGUAGUUCU